UCACAGGAAAUGCUGAAUGUUUUGUAAGUG
rnacentral:piRNA from 1 species